ACUAUGGAGUAUACAAGAACCUGUGAGUCGAUAUGAUUUCGGUCAAUCCAAAGUAUACGUGAUGACAUAGUAA
rnacentral:ncRNA from 1 species